AGCAGACCGCGGNAAUUCCAGACUCCAAUAGCGNAUAUNANAGUUGCUGCAGUUUAAAAAGCUCGUAGUUGAAUUUCGGGACCAUCAUGUCGGUCGUGCCUCGGCACGUACUGGCAUUGUUGGUUUCUCCCUUCUGACGAACCAUGAUGUCAUUAAUUUGGUGUCUAGAGGAAUCAGGACUGUUACUUUGAAAAAAUUAGAGUGUUUAAAGCAGGCUCACGCUUGAAUACAUUAGCAUGGAAUAAUGAAAUAGGACGUUUGAUUCUAUUUUGUUGGUUUCUAGGAUCGACGUAAUGAUUAAUAGGGAUAGUUGGGGGCAUUAGUAUUCAAUUGUCAGAGGUGAAAUUCUUGGAUUUAUUGAAGACUAACUACUGCGAAAGCAUUUGCCAAGGAUGUUUUCAUUAAUCAAGAACGAAAGUUAGGGGAUCGAAGACGAUCAGAUACCGUCGUAGUCUUAACCAUAAACUAUGCCGACUAGGGAUAGGGUGAUGUUAAUUUUUUAAUGACUCA
rnacentral:rRNA from 1 species